rnacentral:rRNA from 1 species
UACGGGGGGGGCAAGCGUUGUUCGGAAUUACUGGGCGUAAAGGGCUCGUAGGCGGCCAACUAAGUCAGACGUGAAAUCCCUCGGCUUAACCGGGGAACUGCAUCUGAUACUGGAUGGCUUGAGAUUGGGAGAGGGAUGCGGAAUUCCAGGUGUAGCGGUGAAAUGCGUAGAUAUCUGGAGGAACACCAAUGGCGAAGGCAGCUCGCUGGGACGUUACUGACGCUGAGGAGCGAAAGCGUGGGGAGCGAACAGG